GUCACUAUGGCAACAAGACAUUGUCAUUAAUGGUCCAAAGUCAGGAGAGGGAGUGGAACAUUCAUGCCACUUGGUGGAGGCAUAAUCCCCAGAAGUCAGCAACUAGAGGCAAUCACCUGAUCAUCCUUAGCUACAGCUCUUGUUUGGAACUUGGAAAGAAUGAAGUCAUCUAAGGAUUUAGGACACCUGAGCACAUUUGUUAGGUUUAUGGGGAAAAAAAUCACUGGAAAGUAAUUGAUGGAUUUGCAUGAAAGAGAGGAAAAAAUGGAAGGAGUCAAGUUUUGGAAGGCCAGAGGGGAUGGAAUGAACAGUAAAGCCUAUUUAUUGACUAUCUUUUGCAAGAUCUAUUGCAAAGCUUCUUCAACUAGCUAUAUAAUCAGGUGGAUGGAUAGAUAGACAUGGAAGAAAAGAACAUUCAGAGCACUCUUCUCUUUGGUCAAACUUCCCCAUAUAGUCCUUAGAACUGAGGCAGACAUUUCACAAACCUAGAUCACUUUGGUCUGGUCCUAUGCCCUUGGAACCACCAUGGACUUUGGAGUGAGAAAAGAUAAAAAGGAGUGAGAAGCUGGCAGAGAGACCAACAGAAGCAACAACAAAAAGAAUGACAAAGACAUAGUUUCAGAAAGCUGCAUGUCUGUCUAAGAAUGUCUGUAUUUACAUUUAGUGGAGUCUUGGAUAUGUGUCC
rnacentral:lncRNA from 1 species